rnacentral:lncRNA from 1 species
CUCCUCUGUUUCUUCCCUCAGCAUGUUACUGUAGGGCUACACCUUUCUAAAGGAAGUAUUCUACACCAGUCUAGUAAGCUGGUGAGGUUUUGAACUUUUGGCUGUGCACUCAGAAGUUAAUAGCAAAAGCAAGCUUUAACCACACAUCUGGUUUUGAAGAUCAAGAUUCCCAUCUACAGCUGUGGUUCAUGUGUCCCCCCCAUGUGUUAUGUACAGUUGCAUCAUGCUAUUCUCAUAUGCUGUGAAUGCAAAGCAAAAAGCUUCUGGCAGCCUAUUUACAGUUCACAGUUGUAAAGUAGUUCACAUUACAGUAGUAGUUCCAUCAAAAUAGGCUCAGCUGAACAUUCAAGUAACAAAAAAAUGCUGUUAGUCUCUUUGCACCAAGAUAUCCUUGCAUCCAUUGCCAGCAAUGGACUUUAUGCCAAAUGAGUCAGCUCCUGCCGUGGAGGAAGAUCUACAAUUGAUGCAGAGAGCAACCUCUCAGUGUGUGCAGUUGCAGACAAUGCUUAAAAGUCUCAUCAAGGUGUUUUCUGAUGCGCAGUGUGCAUGUGUCCAAGUUCUUCACAGUAUAGAGAUUCUGCUGGUUACACACAUCAUAACCAUAGUCCAUGUGUCACUCCAAGUUAGCUAUGUACAUCUGUGCCAUUUGGAGUUAGCUUAGCUUUCCUCUCUACGCAAGGUCCUUUAGCAGAGUACUGCACCAGAAGAAAGGGCUCUUUGGUUUCUCCUUCGCCCACGAUGCUUUCUUCAUCUUCAGACUGGCUGAUCCUCUGCAGCCGCAGGUAACACCAGCAGCCCAGAAUCAAGGCACCAAGAGCUGCGAUAGCAAUCAAAAUAACAAUGACAGUCACCACUCCCGUGGUGGGGCUGUGAUCCGUAAUAGACAUGGUUAGUAUGUCAGAUUGUCCAGCUUCUUAAAGACUCUUCUGCCUGCACUAUCAGGCUUCACUGUAUUUUCAGACUCCGUCCGCCACAGCUCCGCCGCACAGCACCGCCCGCUCCGACGCCACCG